rnacentral:tRNA from 1 species
AUUAGAAUCUAACAAAAUAAAAAUAAUUUUUUUCAAUUUUAUUACA